rnacentral:rRNA from 1 species
GAUGAAUGCUGGCGGCGUGCUUAACACAUGCAAGUCGAGCGGUAAGGCCCUUCGGGGUACACGAGCGGCGGACGGCUGAGUAACGCGUGGGAACAUGCCCUAAAGUGAGGAAUAACUGCCCGAAAGGGUGGCUAAUGCCGCAUAUGAUCUUCGGAUUAAAGGAUUUAUCCGCUUUAGGAGUGGCCUGCGUACGAUUAGCUUGUUGGUGAGGUAAUGGCUUACCAAGGCGACGAUCGUUAGCUGGUCUGAGAGGAUGACCAGCCAGACUGGAACUGAGACACGGUCCAGACUCCUACGGGAGGCAGCAGUGAGGGAUCUUCCACAAUGGGCGAAAGCCUGAUGGAGCAACGCCGCGUGCAGGAUGAAGGCCCUCGGGUCGUAAACUGCUUUUAUGAGUGAAGAAUAUGACGGCAACUCAUGAAUAAGCACCGGCUAACUACGUGCCAGCAGCCGCGGUA